GCAAGUCGAACGAAUAUUUAUAAAGCUUGCUUUAUAAAUAUUAGUGGCAAACGGUGAGUAACGCGUGGGAAUCUACUUAUCAGUACGGAAUAACAUUUGGAAACAAAUGCUAAUACCGUAUAUUCUCGAAAGAGGAAAGAUUUAUCGCUGAUGGAUGUGCCCGCGUUAGAUUAGGUAGUUGGUGGGGUAAUGGCCUACCAAGCCUACGAUCUAUAGCUGGUCUGAGAGGAUGAUC
rnacentral:rRNA from 1 species